rnacentral:rRNA from 1 species
CGCGUAGGCGGAUGUUUAAGUCAGGGGUCAAAUCCCAGGGCUCAACCCUGGAACUGCCUUUGAUACUGGACAUCCUGAGUACGGGAGAGGUGAGUGGAACUCCGAGUGUAGAGGUGAAAUUCGUAGAUAUUCGGAAGAACACCAGUGGCGAAGGCGACUCACUGGCCCGUUACUGACGCUGAGGCGCGAAAGCGUGGGGAGCAAACAGGAUUAGAUACCCUGGUAGUCCACGCCGUAAACGAUGAGUGCUAGUUGUCGGCAUGCAUGCAUGUCGGUGACGCAGCUAACGCAUUAAGCACUCCGCCUGGGGAGUACGGUCGCAAGAUUAAA